rnacentral:lncRNA from 10 species
AUCGUUACCCGAGCCCAGCGCCGGGCCAAUGUCCUAUCUCAGGGUUUCCCACGUCGCUCGCUCCUUGACGGCUGACCGACACUGGGUCUGAGGUGUAAGCGCUUUCCAGGCCCUUCCCUGGGGCUUGGAGGGGAAUGGCGCAAAGGACUUUUCUUACAAGCAGAGGUAAGGAAAAGCCGAGAUGAUUACGAACAGAAACACGUUGUAGUUAUGGAGCAGGAAGGGAAAAUAAGAAGACCAAGUUGGAAAAGGGACGCCUGUGCGCUUUUGGAAGCCACCGCCCUCGCCAGUUUAUAAGUCCUUUACGGAAACAACACUGAAGGGAGCUGGAGGGCAGUAGCUAAUGUGCUGUCCUCCUGGAGUGGUCCUGGUUUUAAAUGUCUUGUCCCCGCCUUCCAGAGUCAGAUGGAGACAGGAAAAGGAAAUGGUCCCGUGUCCUCCUACCCUGUUUGGUUUGCAGUCUGUGAUGCCCUUCAUUGUAAACAUUUCUUGUGAGCCGCAUCCUACUAAUCUUGUGGCAUUGGUUUGCUCGGGAAUGACGUUCACCCACAGACCUGAAAAGUCCUUACAGAGUUGGGAAGCUGCGUGUCAUCAUUUUUUCAGUUGGCAAAUCUGCCCACUUUGAACUGACAUAAUUGUAGCCUAAAAGUUCAGAGAGAGAGUAGUUCAGGAAAAAGACUAUUCCUUCUUCUUAGAGGGAACAGCAGCCCUGAAAACUAUGUGGACAUCAUACCAGCUUCUUACAACAAAAGGUGCACUUGGUCUAAAUUAUCUGGCAGCUCUAGAUAACGUUCUCAUCAAGUACCUGUUUGUUGUAGUUAUGCAUAUUUAUUCCUUGGCUUAGCCACUGCAGUUACCAAAGAGUAUGUCGCUUAUUGUCUAAGAGGUUGGACUCCUGAAAGCCUGGACAGUGUCAUCAUCUUCACCUGAAGAGUGGAAAAAUUCAAGCAAAGAGUUUCUCAGGAAAUGACCAAGUAAAACAUCUGGAGUAAGUCAGCAGGAUUCACAGUGACUCCCCCCAACCAGCUGGUGGUGUUUCUCUCUGAAAGCAGCGCUUGGUACCAGUGUGAACUCUCUUCCUUCAGAAGUCUCAUCAGGUGGACGUAAUACGAGGGUCUGGUCCCCCAUACCUUGAGGACUCCGCUGCCAUCUGACAAUUACAGACAAUCCAAUUGUCCUCAUCCUUGAGGACUCUGCUGCCAUCUGACAAUUAGAGACAGUCCAAAACAUGCCACACUUUGAUCCUAAACACAUUCCUGGCUUUGGUCACUUUUGAAAAGUUCCUGAGUUAUGAGAAAUCAAUAAUAAGAGUGUUCAAAACCUGAACACUCUUU